GUCUUUUUGGUUAAUAAUUUAAAGUUUAAUUUGCCCCCUGAUUGAUAAUUAAAGGGCUGCAGUAUAUUGACUGUACAAAGGUAGCAUAAUCAUUAGUCUUUUAAUUGAAGACUUGUAUGAAAGAUUUGAUGAAAUAUAAACUGUCUCUAAAUUAAUUAUAGAAAUUAAUUUUUUAAUUAAAAAGUUAAAAUAAUUUAAAAAGACGAGAAGACCCUAUAGAGUUUUAUAAUAAUUAAAAAUUUGGGUUAUGUAUAUAAAUAAUAAAUUUAAAAUUUUAUUAUUAUUUUAUUGGGGUGAUAGAAAAAUUUAAUUAACUUUUUUUAAAAAAAAAUCAUAAAUAAGUGAAUAAAUGAUCCAUAAAUAGUGAUUAAAAGAAAAAAUUACCUUAGGGAUAACAGCGUAAUUUUUUUUUUUAGUACAAAUAAAAAAAAAAGGUUGCGACCUCGAUGUUGGAUUAAGAUAAAAUUUAAAUGCAAAAGUUUAAAAUUUUGAUCUGUUCGAUCAUUAAAAUCUUACAU
rnacentral:rRNA from 1 species